AUCUUCAGGGCGGGGUGUGAUUCCCCACCGGCGGUAAAGCCCGCGAGCCAAUGAUUUGGUUGAUUCGGUGAGAUUCCGGGGCCGACAGUAUAGUCUGGAUGGAAGAAGAUG
rnacentral:ncRNA from 1 species